rnacentral:lncRNA from 1 species
UAUUAUAAUUUAAACCUAAAUUUUCGAAAUCAACCAUCAAGACAUUUGAAGUACUCGGGACUGAAGAAUGGUUUCUGAAAAUUAAUUGGCAAUCUAAAAUAAGAUGUCAAGAGGGCAUAAUGACUGAGCAGGUGCAGAUGUCUGUCUUUAUCUAUCUCUGCGUGAAUUGCUUUCCAUUUUGAAUCCCAGCUAAGCCUCA